CCUACGGGAGGCAGCAGUGAGGAAUAUUGGUCAAUGGGCGGAAGCCUGAACCAGCCAAGUAGCGUGCGGGAUGAAGGCCCUACGGGUCGUAAACCUCUUUUGCACGGGGAUAACACCCUCCUCUUGUGGAGGUCUGCAGGUACCGUGCGAAUAAGGGCCGGCUAAUUCCGUGCCAGCAGCCGCGGUAAUACGGAAGGCGCGAGCGUUAUCCGGAUUUAUUGGGGUUAAAGGGAGCGUAGGCGGGCGUUCAAGUCAGCUGUAAAAUCGCGCGGCUCAACCGCGCUCAGCAGUUGACACUGGAGGCCUUGAGUGAGCAACAGGCAGGCGGAAUGCGUGGUGUAGCGGUGAAAUGCAUAGAUAUCACGAGGAACCCCGAUUGCGAAGGCAGCCUGCCGGGGUGCGACUGACGCUGAGGCUCGAAGGUGCGGGUAUCAAACAGGAUUAGAUACCCUUGUAGUC
rnacentral:rRNA from 1 species